AUAAAGGCUCAGUUGAGUUGAGUUACUAGAUUUUGAUAGAAUUUCAGUCAAAUUUGUUACAUGUAAAACUUUUCUAAUUUAGCUCUACAAUUACAAAUAGGCUUAGGUAUUAUCCUACCUAGUACAUACAGAAUUUAUAGUCAAGUGGUUUUGUCAAUAGAAAUUAAAGUUUAAUGACUGUUAAAAUUUUUGAUAAGUUCAGUGUCCAUGAUUGAAAUAAAGUACAUUAACUGGGAUCUGGAACUCUUGGGACGUGCCUAAAUAAACAGCUAAUCCAUGUCCAGCAGCUGAAAGUAGUAGCAAUAGCCAAGGUGAAAACUGAUAAAAUAAAAUAAAAACUAAGUUCGCAAAGAAACUGUGUAAUAAAAAACUGAAUGGUUAGUUCUUCAUUUGGAUCUUGAAGAAUA
rnacentral:misc_RNA from 1 species